rnacentral:lncRNA from 1 species
UGUUGCUAGCCAUGUGCCGGUUAACCAGACUUGCCUGCCUGGAUGACUCCACGUUCAAUCACAAGCAGCACUCGUCCUAGUAUAUUUUAGUGUAGAUUAGCAGUUUGAAGCAUCCGUAUUGCUGUGUAGGCUGGCCCAUGAAUCAGCCCGGCUAGUUCUGAAAGGUGUUAAUAAUCCCUGCAAAAAAAAGGUGUUAGUAAUCCAGCAUCAACUGGUUGUAGAGUUGUACGUAAGGACGGCAUUACAUCGCAACUUGCAUGCGUGCAGGCCGAGGUCAAACAAUUAUUCUGGAGAUAGGACGGUAAUGUGCAGUAUAUAAAACUACAGUAUUUCGCUACUCUAUAUACAUGCAUGCAUGUAAAGAUCAAUCGCUUUCGUACAACAGCGAAAGGUUGGA